rnacentral:rRNA from 1 species
GACGAACGCUGGCGGCGUGCUUAACACAUGCAAGUCGAACGGAAAGGCCCUGCUUUUGUGGGGUGCUCGAGGGGCGAACGGGUGAGUAACACGUGAGUAACCUGCCAUUGACUUUGGGAUAACUUCAGGAAACUGGGGCUAAUACCGGAUAGGAGCUCCUGCUGCAUGGUGGGGGUUGGAAAGUUUCGGCGGUUGGGGAUGGACUCGCGGCUGAUCAGCUUGUUGGUGGGGUAGUGGCUUACCAAGGCUUUGACGGGUAGCCGGCCUGAGAGGGUGACCGGCCACAUUGGGACUGAGAUACGGCCCAGACACCUACGGGAGGCAGGAGUGGGGAGUAUUGCACAAAGGGCGGAAGACUGAUGCAGCAAGGCCGCGCGCGGGAUGACGGCCUACGGGUUGUAAACCGCUUUCGCCUGUGACGGAUCGUGAGUGACGGAAAUGGGGAAAGAGGCACCGGUUAACUACGG